GACGAACCGAGCGAACGUUAUUCGGAAUCACUGGGCUUAAAGGGCGCGUAGGCGGGCCAUCAAGUCAGGGGUGAAAGCCCCCAGCUCAACUGGGGAAGUGCCUUUGAUACUGGUGGUCUCGAGGGGGAUAGGGGCGUGCGGAACUUCCGGUGGAGCGGUGAAAUGCGUAGAUAUCGGAAGGAACACCGGUGGCGAAAGCGGGUUGCUGGGCUGACACUGACGCUGAGGCGCGAAAGCUAGGGGAGCGAACGGG
rnacentral:rRNA from 1 species